CUGAUCGUGGACAGGAGUUCCGGCCAGUCGCAAUGGUCGGAGACGACGAGCGGCAGUUCGACACCGCCCUGUUUGGC
rnacentral:tRNA from 1 species